CGGUACAUCGGUGACAGGUGGUGCAUGGUUGUCGUCAGCUCGUGUCGUGGGAUGUUGGGUUAAGUCCCGCAACGAGCGCAACCCCUAUUGUUAGUUGCCAUCAUUCAGUUGGGCACUCUAGCGAGACUGCCGGUAAUAAACCGGAGGAAGGUGGGGAUGACGUCAAAUCAUCAUGCCCCUUAUGACCUGGGCUACACACGUGCUACAAUGGUUGGUACAACGAGUUGCGAGUCGGUGACGGCGAGCUAAUCUCUUAAAGCCAAUCUCAGUUCGGAUUGUAGGCUGCAACUCGCCUACAUGAAGUCGGAAUCGCUAGUAAUCGCGGAUCAGCACGCCGCGGUGAAUACGUUCCCGGGCCUU
rnacentral:rRNA from 1 species